rnacentral:lncRNA from 1 species
AUGAAAAUGAAAGUCAGCUUAGCUCCCAUCUCUCCUUGCACACCAACCCCCACUCAGUGCUGGUUGGGGGGCAGGUCAUGCUGGGGCUUGCCCCGCUUAGGGCUGCCAGGAGCUCUGGCUGGCUCCCAUCAGAUAUACGCCGGCUGUUGGCAAGCGGGAAGGAAGCAAGCUGCAGCAGGAACAAAGUCUGUCACCCUCCCAGAACUUGAAGUAGUUGCCGAGGGAAGUCAGCUGGCCCUGGGGGCCCAGGAAGAACAGGAAUGCUGGAAUAAAUUACACGGGUCGACGUCUUGGAGGCGAAGGCAUUCUGGCGCAGCGAAGAAACAAUACAGGUUGUCCUUGGGCCCAGCGGCUGAUCCUUGACCACCUGGUCAGUAUAGAAACCGGGGUGGCAUCUCCAUGGUUCUGUUAUCUGGGGCUUGGCUGUAAACACCAGGCCCCAGGAUAAUUCCUGGGCUGAGGCUGAUUUAAAGAAGAUCUAGGUGGAAUCAGGAAGGAGAGUCUUAGACUGAGCAGCUGAGGGUUCCGGGAGCUUGUGUACCUCCGGCUCCCUCUUGCUCGACCUCUUGCCUUAGCAAGCACUUCCUCCCAGGCUGCUGCCGUUGGAGGGUUUCUUGCCCCAAGCCCACCAGAUAAGGAACUGAGAAGAGAUAGAAAAAAACAAAAUCCACUCGAGGCUGCCCGGAUGACGGAAUGUCUCUAAAAAUAUAUGCCUCCUAGUUCUCAAGUGAUUGGCAGCCCUGCGGUCUUCAGCAUUGGAAAGUGUCAUUUAGAGGGUUGGCUCCCUCCGAAGCUGAGAAACUCACCAAGGCUUUGAGUUAUGUCUCCAGUUGGCUUGGGUGUGGUGGGUGGGAAGUUCAGCUUCCCAAAAGACCAUCGUUGGUAUUAUUGAUGAGGGAGAUAAACCAGCAAAGCUUGAGAUGUGCCCAUCACAGUUGGCGAUUCUUUAUUGCUUUCCUUUGAAGGAACAAAUAAUCCUCAGUGGCUUUCCUUUAAGGCCAACUUAUUUACCCAAAUCUUUCCCUGGGGUCUUUCGUCUGAAAUUAGACAGGACUUAUGAGUCAGCUCUUUGUUAUGAAUUACACAGUAGCUCCUUGUGGAACUGCCCAUUCCUUUCCUCUAGGUACACAUUGAUCAGAGAAUUUCUCAAAUAUCUACCACAUACUCAGAACUGGGCCUUUAGGCACAUGGUUCAGGUUUCAGAUUCUUCCUGGAGAUGACGUGUAGGAUAAGAAAAGGAUUGAGGAACAGGUAAGCAGCUGAGUAAUCCCCAAAUGGGCUUUUUUGGCAAUGAUUUUUCUGUGCAGCUCAUUGAAAUUGAUUCUGGGCAGCUGUUAAUUGCAAAAACUCACUGCCAA